rnacentral:miRNA from 1 species
GUCAGCCAGUUCGUUGAAGCUUCAGAGCAAGCCAUUGACUUCUCUCUAGCUACGAAAGUCCUAGAUGACACCUUAUUCCAAUAUAAGGAAAUUUUUGUCUACACUAAAAAUCUAUU